rnacentral:snoRNA from 1 species
UAGUUGUGAUGAGGACAAUCUCUGAGCAGCCCCUUAAAACUCUCCCAAGCUAAAUAUAAAGACUCACCCGACUUCUGUUUAAAGGAGACUAUCUCACUUCUGAUCUU